AACGAACGCUGGCGGCAUGCCUAACACAUGCAAGUCGAACGAGACCUUCGGGUCUAGUGGCGCACGGGUGCGUAACGCGUGGGAACCUACCCUUAGGUUCGGAAUAACUCCCCGAAAGGGGUGCUAAUACCGGAUAAUGUCUUCGGACCAAAGAUUUAUCGCCGUUGGAUGGGCCCGCGUUGGAUUAGCUAGUUGGUAGGGUAAAAGCCUACCAAGGCGACGAUCCAUAGCUGGUCUGAGAGGAUGAUCAGCCACACUGGGACUGAGACACGGCCCAGACUCCUACGGGAGGCAGCAGUGGGGAAUAUUGGACAAUGGGCGAAAGCCUGAUCCAGCAAUGCCGCGUGAGUGAUGAAGGCCUUAGGGUUGUAAAGCUCUUUUACCCGGGAUGAUAAUGACAGUACCGGGAGAAUAAGCUCCGGCUAACUCCGUG
rnacentral:rRNA from 1 species